AAUUGAAUUGAAAAUUGAAUUGAAUUAUAAUGAGGAGAUAUUUUGCGUUCUCCCCACAGAAAUCACCCACUUUCAAGCCCAGGAAAAUGUGUUACUACAUGGAGACAUCUCACUAAUCAUCACUCACAGAAUUGUCUCGGGUUACGUAUGUUCUCCAUGCUAAGCACAUCUAGCUCCUCAGAGCCAGAUCGUGCAAGCCUCUCCGGACUCAUACCUUGAGUGGGAGAAGCUGAGAAACGGGCUCCCGAUCGGGGACGUGGGGAGGAGGAUUCCGUGGACGAGGACCGGAAAAAGGCCUCAGACGUCCCGGCACCCUCGGCGAUCUUGCGUUGUGAUCCCCAGGAUCGGAGCCGCUGCGACGCCUCAGCAACUGCGGGGCCUGAGCCACGGGGGGAGCGCAUCUGACCAUCCUCUAGGAAGAGAGCCACUCGAGACCUCAGCAUCCUCAGGGGCAGGGCCUCGCAAUGGUCGCAGGCAGCCCGCUCGAGAGCUGCCUGGGCGUGCGACAUCCCCAGGCAUGAGACACACAUUCCAUGGGUUCAGGUCACAUCUGACAAGUUGCUCCUGUCAAAGCUUUUGUGCUGUUUGAAUGUCGGAGAAGAAUUCUCUGCCCUGACUGAAGCGAGGCCUCCCGCUGUCCACACAGCUACUCAGCAUGUUAUGAUGGACUGAUCUAUCUCUCUCUCUCUGUCUUCUUCCUCCCAUUGUAACACUGUACAGCGCUCAGCAGAGACAUGAAAUAUACAGUAGGUAUGGACUAUAUUGGUGUUUUUGUAUGUUUAACAAUAUCCAGAUGUGGAGUCUAUAAUAAUGCUCAUUUCAUUCUUCACUUAAAGACUUGUGGGCUUUUAAACAUAGGACUUCCACUCAUAUCUGACAGAGAACUCUUGUGACCACACCCAGCAGUGAUGCAUUACUGGCACACUUUAAACAUCACUGCAGCAAGAUGAGAAGGUCAAAAAAAAUCUUGAGUUCAAAACAAGAGUUUCAGCUCCUGUUGAAGGAAAAGGGCAGCUUUACAACAAAACCAACAAUGUGUUAGUCCAUCAUUUUGUAGAGGCUCAGUCAUUCCAUAAAACAGUUGGUCAAUGUACUGUGCAAUACAUUGCACUGUUGGAUACAGUCAUUGUUGUUUGGGUCUGCCCGUGGUGUCUGCUGACGAGAAGAAAAAUGUCAAAAUGUCACCAGCUGUAUGUAUGUAAGUUACUGUCAGCAUAAAGCUGCAAUGCUUGCAGAAUAUUUGACGCCUGGUCCACAGAGGGGUAUUUCGUAUCAAAACUUUGCACCCCAAUUCUUCCUCCCUCAGUACAUUUUCUCAUCAAUUUUGUAAUUGACAGAACACAGAAUUCUGCUGCCUAUUUCAUGUAGUCAGUAUGACAGCAACAGAGCAAAGUAUAAACAAGACAAUCAACAAUAAAUAAAUGCAAUCUUUGUCCACUCUGAAGCUGAGCUAUUCAUCUUUCCCUGAGAUUGUUUUAUAACAAUGCACCUUGAUCAUUCUCCUGGAAAAGAGCAGCUUUGUCCUUGCAGAAAGAGAAGCAGUCACAAUAAACUCACAGUAACAAACCAGUUGUCCACCUCCAAUAGAACUGUUAUGUCUAUUGCUUUAUGUCCUGAUGUGAAAUGUGUGCAACUGUGACACAAGAAUUUCUCCCCGGGAAUCAAUAAAGUAUAAAGAUUUCUGAUUCUGA